AGUGAACGCUGGCGGUAGGCCUAACACAUGCAAGUCGAACGGCAGCACAGUAAGAGCUUGCUCUUACGGGUGGCGAGUGGCGGACGGGUGAGGAAUACAUCGGAAUCUACUUUUUCGUGGGGGAUAACGUAGGGAAACUUACGCUAAUACCGCAUACGACCUACGGGUGAAAGCAGGGGAUCUUCGGACCUUGCGCGAUUGAAUGAGCCGAUGUCGGAUUAGCUAGUUGGCGGGGUAAAGGCCCACCAAGGCGACGAUCCGUAGCUGGUCUGAGAGGAUGAUCAGCCACACUGGAACUGAGACACGGUCCAGAAUCCUACGGGAGGCAGCAGUAGGGAAUAUUGGACAAUGGGCGCAAGCCUGAUCCAGCCAUACCGCGUGGGUGAAGAAGGCCUUCGGGUUGUAAAGCCAUUUUGUUGGGAAAGAAAAGCAGCAGGUUAAUACCCCGCUGUUCUGACGGUACCCAAAGAAUAAGCACCGGCUAACUUCGU
rnacentral:rRNA from 1 species